rnacentral:rRNA from 1 species
GAGUAACACGUGGGAAACCUGCCCAGAAGCGGGGGAUAACACCUGGAAACAGAUGCUAAUACCGCAUAACAACUUGGACCGCAUGGUCCGAGUUUGAAAGAUGGCUUCGGCUAUCACUUUUGGAUGGUCCCGCGGCGUAUUAGCUAGAUGGUGGGGUAACGGCUCACCAUGGCAAUGAUACGUAGCCGACCUGAGAGGGUAAUCGGCCACAUUGGGACUGAGACACGGCCCAAACUCCUACGGGAGGCAGCAGUAGGGAAUCUUCCACAAUGGACGAAAGUCUGAUGGAGCAACGCCGCGUGAGUGAAGAAGGGUUUCGGCUCGUAAAACUCUGUUGUUAAAAAAGAAAAUAUCUGAGAGGAACUGUUCAGGUAUUGACGGUAUUUAACCAGAAAGCCACGGCUAACUACGUGCCAGCAGCCGCGGUAAUACGUAGGUGGCAAGCGUUGUCCGGAUUUAUUGGGCGUAAAGCGAGCGCAGGCGGUUUUUUAAGUCUGAUGUGAAAGCCUUCGGCUCAACCGAAGAAGUGCAUCGGAAACUGGGAAACUUGAGUGCAGAAGAGGACAGUGGAACUCCAUGUGUAGCGGUGAAAUGCGUAGAUAUAUGGAAGAACACCAGUGGCGAAGGCGGCUGUCUGGUCUGUAACUGACGCUGAGGCUCGAAAGUAUGGGUAGCAAACAGGAUUAGAUACCCUGGUAGUCCAUACCGUAAACGAUGAAUGCUAAGUGUUGGAGGGUUUCCGCCCUUCAGUGCUGCAGCUAACGCAUUAAGCAUUCCGCCUGGGGAGUACGGCCGCAAGGCUGAAACUCAAAGGAAUUGACGGGGGCCCGCACAAGCGGUGGAGCAUGUGGUUUAAUUCGAAGCUACGCGAAGAACCUUACCAGGUCUUGACAUACUAUGCAAAUCUAAGAGAUUAGACGUUCCCUUCGGGGACAUGGAUACAGGUGGUGCAUGGUUGUCGUCAGCUCGUGUCGUGAGAUGUUGGGUUAAGUCCCGCAACGAGCGCAACCCUUAUUAUCAGUUGCCAGCAUUAAGUUGGGCACUCUGGUGAGACUGCCGGUGACAAACCGGAGGAAGGUGGGGAUGACGUCAAAUCAUCAUGCCCCUUAUGACCUGGGCUACACACGUGCUACAAUGGAUGGUACAACGAGUUGCGAACUCGCGAGAGUAAGCUAAUCUCUUAAAGCCAUUCUCAGUUCGGAUUGUAGGCUGCAACUCGCCUACAUGAAGUCGGAAUCGCUAGUAAUCGCGGAUCAGCAUGCCGCGGUGAAUACGUUCCCGGGCCUUGUACACACCGCCCGUCACACCAUGAGAGUUUGUAACACCCAAAGUCGGUGGGGUAACCUUUUAGGAACCAGCCGCCUAAGGUGGGACAGAUGAUUAGGGUGAAGUCGUAACAAGGU